GCCCUAGUAACGGCGAGUGAAGCGGCAACAGCUCAAAUUUGAAAUCUGGCUUUCGGGCCCGAAUUGUAAUUUGCAGAGGAUGCUUUUGGCGCGGUGCCUUCCGAGUUCCCUGGAACUGGACGCCUUAGAGGGUGAGAGCCCCGUACGGUUGGACACCAAGCCUCUGUAAAGCUCCUUCGACGAGUCGAGUAGUUUGGGAAUGCUGCUCUAAAUGGGAGGUAAAUUUCUUCUAAAGCUAAAUACCGGCCAGAGACCGAUAGCGCACAAGUAGAGUGAUCGAAAGAUGAAAAGCACUUUGAAAAGAGGGUUAAAUAGCACGUGAAAUUGUUGAAAGGGAAGCGUUUACGGCCAGACCUUUUCCUGGUGGAUCAUCCGGUGUUCUCACCGGUGCACUUCGCUAGGUUUAGGCCAGCAUCGGCUUCCGCAGGGGGAUAAAAGCAGUGGGAAAGUAGCUCCUUCGGGAGUGUUAUAGCCCUAAGCAUAAUACCCUUGCGGGGGCCGAGGACCGCGCUUUUGCAAGGAUGCUGGCGUAAUGGUCGUCAACGACCCGUCUUGAAACACGGACCAAGGAGUCGAACAUUUGUGCGAGUGUUUGGGUGUUAAACCCUCACGCGUAAUGAAAGUGAACGGAGGUGAGAGCCCUUUAGGGUGCAUCAUCGACCGAUCCUGAUGUCUUCGGAUGGAUUUGAGUAAGAGCAUAACUGUUCGGACCCGAAAGAUGGUGAACUAUGCGUGGAUAGGGUGAAGCCAGAGGAAACUCUGGUGGAGGCUCGCAGCGGUUCUGACGUGCAAAUCGAUCGUCAAAUCUGCGCAUGGGGGCGAAAGACUUAUCGAACCAUCUA
rnacentral:rRNA from 1 species